UAUCAAUCUGCUGGGGGCUGAUGAAGUGGAUGUGGGUGUCGAUGCCCCCCGCCGUGACGAUGAGUCCCUCGGCGGCGAUGGCCUCUGUGGAGGCCCCCACGAUGAGCCCCUCCGUCACCCCGUCCAUCAGGUCAGGGUUGCCCGCCUUGCCGAUGCCGGCGAUGCGGCCGUCCUUGAUCCCCACGUCGGCCUUCACCACCCCGAGGAUGGAAUCCAGGACGAGGGCAUUCGUCAGCACCAGGUCGAGGCAGUCCGCG
rnacentral:sRNA from 1 species